rnacentral:ncRNA from 1 species
AAGAACGCAUCCGGGUGUCUACCCCGUUUUUCUUUUGGGUUCCCGAACCUGAAGAAACUCACACUUUCUUCUGGGGACGGGCUCAGAGGGACGGGCUAGUCUGAGAAAUACCGGCGAACUUGAUCUGGAUAAUACCAGCGAAAGGACAUGCUUCUUUGAACUCC